rnacentral:rRNA from 1 species
GACGAACGCUGGCGGCGUGCUUAACACAUGCAAGUCGAGCGGUAAGGCCCUUUCGGGGGUACACGAGCGGCGAACGGGUGAGUAACACGUGGGUGACCUGCCCUCAGCUCUGGGAUAAGCCUGGGAAACCGGGUCUAAUACUGGAUAUGACUCCAUGACGCAUGUUGUGGGGUGGAAAGCCUUGUGCGGCUGAGGAUGGGCCCGCGGCCUAUCAGCUUGUUGGUGGGGNGAUGGCCUACCAAGGCGACGACGGGCAGCCGGCCUGAGAGGGCGACCGGCCACACUGGGACUGAGACACGGCCAGACUCCUACGGGAGGCAGCAGUGGGGAAUCUUGCGCAAUGGGCGAAAGCCUGACGCAGCGACGCCGCGUGAGGGAUGACGGC